UACGGGGGGGGCAAGCGUUGUUCGGAAUUACUGGGCGUAAAGGGCUCGUAGGCGGCUCGUUAAGUCAGACGUGAAAUCCCUCGGCUUAACCGGGGAACUGCGUCUGAGACUGAAGAGCUUGAAUCCGGGAGAGGGAUGCGGAAUUCCAGGUGUAGCGGUGAAAUGCGUAGAUAUCGGAAGGAACAUCAGUGGCGAAAGCGACUUCCUGGACCAAUACUGACGCUCAUGUGCGAAAGCGUGGGGAGCAAACAGG
rnacentral:rRNA from 1 species